rnacentral:rRNA from 1 species
GAUGAACGCUGGCGACGUGCCUAAUACAUGCAAGUCGAGCGAAUGGAUUAAGAGCUUGCUCUUAUGAAGUUAGCGGCGGACGGGUGAGUAACACGUGGGUAACCUGCCCAUAAGACUGGGAUAACUCCGGGAAACCGGGGCUAAUACCGGAUAACAUUUUGAACCGCAUGGUUCGAAAUUGAAAGGCGGCUUCGGCUGUCACUUAUGGAUGGACCCGCGUCGCAUUAGCUAGUUGGUGAGGUAACGGCUCACCAAGGCAACGAUGCGUAGCCGACCUGGGAGGGUGAUCGGCAGAACGGGGACUGAGACACGGCCCAGACUCCUACGGGAGGCAGCAGUAGGGAAUCUUCCGCAAUGGACGAAAGUCUGACGGAGCAACGCCGCGUGAGUGAUGAAGGCUUUCGGGUCGUAAAACUCUGUUGUUAGGGAAGAACAAGUGCUAGUUGAAUAAGCUGGCACCUUGACGGUACCUAACCAGAAAGCCACGGCUAACUACGUGCCAGCCGCCGCGGUAA